GUGAAUUGGAUUUAAGUACUGUCUUUGCCACAUACCUCACAGUCUUGCUGCCUGGGUUGAAGUGAUCAUUAAGAAUUCGAAAGCAGGGCCGCCUGGGUGGCUCAGUGGGUUAAAGCCUCUGCCUUCACCUUGGGUCGUGAUCCUGGGGUCCUGGGAUCGAGUCCCACAUCGGGUUCUCUGCUCAGUGGAGAGCCUGCUUCCCCCCUCUCUCUGGCUGCCUCUCUGCCUACUGUGAUCUCUGUCAAAGAAAGAAAGAAAGAUGAAAGCACUCUGAAAACCACAAGGGAUUAUUAUUCCAACCCUUACAUAUUACAGAAGCCUACCCCUCACUUUGUUCUGUUCACCAUCCUCCUUCUCUUUCCAGAUUGUGCCCAUCCUCUUCAAGAUGGCACCCCGGCCUUCUCCCCACAGGCCCUGAUGCUAGCACCUCCCUCUUCGCAUCUACUUAAGGACCCACGUUAAACCACAUCUGAAAAAUGAAGAAAUGACCAACGAAACGUGAAGUUUGAG
rnacentral:lncRNA from 1 species